AGCGUCUCUCUUCUUCUCUUCUCCCCCACCCCUCCGCUCCCUCCAAUGCUUCCAGCCGCCGGGUUGGAGCCUGGAGGGGUCCGGCGGCGCGCUCUGCCGCAGCUGCUCUGCCUGGAAAGGCUCGGCUCCAGCGGCAGCCAUUUUCCGGGGGCCGCCGCCGCCACCGCGACGGGCUCGCUGAGGCAAAACGCCCUUUGCUUGGAGAGAGCGGCCGAGCUCUCGUGUCUUCCCCAGCAAGCCGCCUCUUUUGGCCCGGAGCGCUGGCGGAGUGGGACGGGAGCGGGUGGGAAGAGAGACCCGGGGACUGGUCGGUGUCUUCGCCUCUUCGGGCCUGGGUGCUGCUUGGGACAGAUGGAAGAGGGGAAGGGGGGGGGAAGCUUCCCGGAUCCGACCUGUCCUCCGGGGUGCCUGGAGAUGGUGGGCGGAGGGGGCGACUUGGUGGCAGUCUGCGCAAGGCUCGGGACCCUCCCUUUCCCCCCUUCUUUCUGAAGGGGAGCUUCGCUUAGCGUGACCUGAAAGAAAGGUGGGUCCCUCUUUGCGGAACGAGGGAGAGACGCUGCCGAUGUCGCCCUUCUUUUUAAGGAGAGAAAAAAAAAAAACAAGCCAAAGCGGAUUGUGCAACAAUUGUGCACAUAAUCAUGUGUUUGGCGAGCUGCUGCCAGGAACAUUUAUUCCCAGGCUGGUCCUUAAGUUUCCUUCUGAACGUAUUAAAGGGUGUUGUUGUUUUUUAAUAUUAAAAAAAAUUAACAACGCUGGUCUUGGUGGUUCUGUUGCUCCUGCGGAAUCGAUUAGCUUUGAUUCUACUUAGGUUUCCUUAAGGAAAGAGAGCCUUAGUUUUAAUAAGAACCCUUUCAGUUCAAUGUGGUUAGAAUCGCAGUGUUUUAGGUUUCUCCAAAAAAAAAAAAAAAGGAUGGAAAUUGCUUGUCUGAUGUCUCCCUAAACUGAAUUUGUAUCCUUGUGUGUUGUGUUACUUUAUGGAUACUUGGUGCAGUCAUGUGCAUUUUACUCACAAGUUCCACCACAGCAAGUAAAGUUUAAAUGGGGUGGGUGGGAGGUGUGCCCAUAAUUUGUGGAUUUGGGUAUGAGAAAGGAGGUUUGGCUAAAAGAUAGACAGUUUUGUGUUUUGCUGGAUUUUAGUCAUGCAGCAGUCUAAUCGUCUAAAAUAUUAAGAUAUACCUAUAAAGGUCACAUAGUAGACCUGGGCAUGCAAAGCUGGAUUUAUUUACAUUUCAGAUUUCUCUAAUUCUGUAAUGUAUAACAUACUUGCAACUUUUGUUUUCUUUCAUUUGUGCUGGAUGAAAUAAAGGUGUGACCUAAUCCAGGACCAAGCAUGUGUCUUUGGUUAGCCUACAAGCAGCAUACACACCCUCUACCAAGCUUCUUGUAUCCCCAAGCAAUUAUUAGUACAGUUUGAAUCUUACUGUCUCAGAUAUUGAAGAUAACUAUUAGCCAUUGUUAGCUUUAUCUUCCAUGGACUUGGCAAUGUUCCUACAAAGCUGUCCGGAUUGGAGGCCUUGCUGCAUCUUGUGGCUUUGAAUUCCAUGCUUCAGUUAGGGCUUGUGUAACAUAGUGUUUCUGUUAUAAAUUCCUCCCUGUGUAAUUUGGUCCUUCCGGAUCUUUUUCCCAUGUUUAUCUUUACCAUCUUUUGCACAAUUUUAAAUAGUUCUAGAAUGCUUCCUUUUAUUUUUCAUUUCAUUCAAACACUCUUACUGUAAUUUCUUUCCUUAGACAUCCUGGUCAUUUUCUUGUCUUUUGUUAGCUUGCAUGCAAGAAAGCAAACACCCUUAGAAUUGGAAGUCUUUCAGAGACAAUCUCUUAAUUUUAUAUUGAGUUAUGCCCUUCAGAAAUGAAACAUUAACCUCUGAUCCUACGGUGGAAAGAGCUGCUUGUAAAAAUUAAAGUCUUCAUUUAUAAUGAGUGCACCUAAAAUAUUUUUACUUGGCAUAUUGUUGCAGGUAUUUUAAUAACAAACUUUAGCUCUCUUUUAAGCUGCAUACUUUUUAGAACAAAUAAAUGUCAAGUACUUAUGCUUAUUCUUUAAACAUGUACUUAUAAAUAGUACUUUUGGCUAACUCCUUCACAUGUUUGCUUACAAUACUAGUUUAGUUCUGUUAUAGAGGGAAGUUUGCAUUUAACUACAUUGAAUUGUAUAGUUUCAGUUAAACAUUUGUUUAAUCAUUUGAUUUCUAUAACCACCCAUUUCACUUUUACAUGAGUUAACAUAUUUGAGGAAUACUGCUGUUAAGUAUAAUGGUAGUUAAAAAGUUGAUACAAUGGAGUGGAUGGUAUUUCUUCAUUCGAAUUGUGUUUUAUCAGAUGGAUAAAUGCACAUAUCCCUGUGCUGAGAUUCAAAACCAAUACUGAGAUUUUAGAAUACCUUGUAUACAAAAUAGAGGAGUCUUUCAUCUGAAGAAAUCAAGAUGCAGUCAACUCUCCCCGGCACACCCGAAAAGGUUAACUUGUAUGAAAACAUCCAUGAGAUAACAGCCGCUUGUAUUUGCUAUUGCAUUGCUAUUAGGACUUGAUGUGAUUGAGCAACAUCUGAUGAGUUUCAUCCCUGUGUAAUACACUAUCAAUCAUAUGAGCAUUUUUAACUUGUAUGUAUAAAAUUUCUUAUAUUACUAUAGUUAAUAUUGCUAAUUUAAGGUCUAAGGCUAUUGUCUGCUCCCCACCCAUUGUAUAUAAUUUAAAGUGAUUCUCUGCUCUGUGUCAGGAAAUCUCAGGACCAUAGUUAUAAUAUGAUAAAGCCUAUUUUCAAAUGAGUUGCAACACAAAGAAAGGAGAUCAAAGGUCAGGCUCCAGAUUGUAAAGCAUUUCUACAGUAAGGAGCUCUAUCAGGAUGUAGGGGCAAGUGACCACAUAACUUUAGAAUCAUGAGUUAUCCUCCAGCAGAAAGCUUUAAACUGGAGGCUGCAAUUACUCUGCCCUGAUUCAUCUGGUUAAGCCUGAUCUGGCUGAAGACCAUCCAGAUGUAUUAUGUUAACAACCUUAACUCAGCUGGUGCUUGGUAAUCCUAACCAGGCAGACUUAUACAGAGACUCAGAAUUACUGCUGAGUAGACCUUUAUUCCCAAAGUAUCAUAUUGCAAACAAAUAGUUUGUUGCUUUUCUGGCUUCUGAUAUUUGAUCCAGUGGCAGAAUGACCAUGAUAGUUGGACUUAAAUCAGUUAUAGAAAAUAUUGAGUCUUAACUGUGGGCUUGUCCCUGUGGCCUGGUUCAAGUGGCACAGAAAGCUUAUUUUGAUCAUAUAGUGGUCCUCCACAUCUCCCUCUUCUAGAGAUGUCCUCACAUAAGGACACAACAAAUGACACUUCAGGCAGUCAAUGGCACAUAUUUCAUACAAAGUACUAAAGGUAGAAAUAAAAGUUUUGGAAAUCCUGGGGGGAGGGGGAUUGUAUGACAUCCUUAUCUACGGGCAACUGAACCAUAAUUUACCAAAUUUUAUGGAUUCUCAUAACACAUAGAAGUAGAACCUGAUGUUGCUAGGCUGAGUUUAUACCACAAGCUAGAUUAGAAUGCAGUUGGUAAUUUUGAAUUUUAUUUCGGUUAGGAAAUUAUUCUGCUCAACGCUAUUACCUGCAAAUUUUAUAAAUUAUCAAUUUCUUUAUUCAAAUCAUUAAAAUACUAAUAGUAAAAAUUCCGUUUUUCCUCGGUAUUAGCAUUUUGUCAUAAUUGGCCACUAUGCUACCUCUUUUGAACAUAUCUAAAGAAAUCAUUUUCGUUGUUUUUAAUAUUUCCUAGUUUCACUUCACUCUGAACUUUGUCUUUCCUAACACAGUUCUAGGCUAUUUGUGUAUAGUUUUCCUUGGUGGCUUGGGACUCUUUCCAUUACUAUAUUGCAUGUGUUCUUUUUCAUUUUCAAAUUAAAGCACUGUGAUGUGAGUUGCAGUUAAAAAUAAAGUCUCGGUCCUGAAAACAGCAACAUGCAGACACGAUUUUGCAUAUCACUCCCCCUUUAUGAUAUCCUUUUCCAAUAUAGAAACAUAUUUUUAAAGAUGUUCUUCCAGAUUUAAUUGUUUUAAUUGUUUAAAAGAAACAGACUUAAAGAAGUGGUGGUGUGCUAUAUAAAAUAAAUAACUAGAUCUCUACAGAAAUACAGAACAAUGAUGAAAAACAUAUUGAAUGCAAUGAAUGGGUUUGAACCCAAUUGGAGGAAAUAUGUGAACUUUUUGCUGGUCAGUUAAUUAAGAUAAGUAGGAAGCACCCCACAAUAUUAAUGGGGGACUUUAACUAACCUGACAUCAACUGGGAGACAAACUCUGUACCUAGUGGAAAAUCAAACAGGUUCCUCACAAAUCUAGCAGACAACUUUGUUUCCCAAAUGAUAGAAAAGGGAACUAGAGGGUCAGCCGUACUGGACUUAAUUUUCAGUAACAGAUUAAAUAAUAGAAGGGGUUGAAGUAACAGAAACUUUGCGUGGGGGACCAUGCAGUAUUGAAAUUCAACAUUAUGUAAGGUCAAGCAAAGGAACCAAGUCAAACUGGAAUCUUGCACUUCAAGAAAACUGAUUGGAAACUUGGAAAGAGCUUUGGAAGGUUUCCAGAGAUAGAAUCCUAAGGGGGAAAACAACCCAAGGAGUUUGGGAACUUUGAAAAGUGAGAUUAUAAAAAAUCAGUCUAGCAUAAUUCCAAUAAAGAAGAAAAUAAGAGAUCUCAAAAAGAAACCAGCAUGGCUGCACAAAGAACUCUGAUAAACUGAAAGACAAAAAGGAUAAAAAAUGGAAAGAGGGGCACAUAUCUAAGACAAAAUAUCAGCAAAUAUCUGAACCUGCAAAGAUGAAUUCAAGAAAGCUAAGGCUCAGAAUUUGUGACAAGUCACAAAUAACAAAGCUUCUUUCAGCAUGUAAAAAAAACAAGAAAAAAAGUCAAGGAAACAAUUAGUCCAUUAAUGGGUGAAAAAGGCAAGAAGAAGGUGGAUGAGGAGCAAGGAAGCAGAAUUAUUAACUCAUUUUUUACAUUUGUCUUUACACAAAAGGAAAAAAAACAAUCCAAGCUAUUAAAAAAUACUGUAAAAUUCAGACUAGGAGUGCCAAGUCAAAAUAAGAGAAUGGCAAGAGAACAAACUAUCCAUUCUAAACAAGUUCAAAUCAUCAGGACCAGAUGGAUUACACCUAAGGUUCUGAAGGAAUUGGCAUUUGUUCUGAUCUCAGAAAAAAAUAAACCAUAUCUUUCAAAAAUCCUGGAGCCCUGAGGACCAGAUGACUGGAAGAGGGCUGAUGUAGUUCCCAUCUUCAAAAAAAGAAAAAAUGGAUCCAGGAAACUAUAUACCUAUAGACUCAAGAUACGAAAGGAUCUUGACAGACUUGAACACUAGUCCCUAUCUAACAAAAUUAAAUUCAAUGGUGAAAAAAGUACGGUUCUACAUUUAGGCAAGGAAAAACAAAUGCAUAGAUAUGGAAUAGGUGGUACCAGGCUCAAUAAUAGUAAUUGUGAAAUGGAUCUUGGAGUCCUAGUGGACAGUCACUUAAAUAUGAACCAGCAAUGUGUUGCAGUGCCAAAAAAGCCAAUACAGUCCUAGGCUGCAUUAACAGUGAUAGAAUCAAGAUCAAAUGAAGAGUUAAUACCACUUUAUAAUGCCUUAGUAAGACCACACUUCGAAUAUUGUAUCCAGUUUUGGUUACCACGAUAUAAAAAAAGAUGUUGAAACUCUAAAAGAGUGCAAAGAGCAACGGAGGAUUAGGGGACUGGAGGUGACAAGUGUUCCAAUAACUAAAGGGCUGCCAUAAAGUGAGGGUCAACCUGUUCUCCAAAGCACCUGAAGGCCAGACAAGAAGCAAUGGAUGGAAACUAAUCCAAAAAGAGAAGGAACCUAGGACUAAAGAGAAAUUUCCUGACAGUUAGAACAAUUAAUCAGUAUAACAACUUGCCUCCAGUAGUUGUAGAUCUCCAGCACUGGAGGUUUUUAAGAAGAGAUUGGAGAACCAUUUGUCUGAAAUGAUACAGGGUUUAUUGCUUGAACGGGGUUGGGCUAGACGACUUCCAAGGUCCCUUCCAACUCUGUUAAUCUGUUCUGUUAUAUUGAUGAACUUUACAGAUAGUUAUGAACUGUGUGAUUUUUGUUCCUAUGCAUUUUUUCUCUUCCUAUACUAUUUUUCUUGACAUUCUAAAAUUGAAAAGUCAUAUUAACUCUGGCUAUAAUUCUCCAGCCAUCCCUAAUUCUGAUGAUUUCUAUAGACUUUUUCACAGACUCAUGGAAUUAAAAGAUCUUUUGGACAUUUUUUACUUCAGUCUCCUGCCUAGGGCAGGAAUAUUCAUACAGUGCCAGAAAAGUAUCUAACUACCGCUUGAAAAUCUCCAGUAAUGGAGGUCUCAUUACUCCAAAGGCAGGGUUUUAUUUUGGGAAUCUUUUUUAAAGAAAAGAUAGGCAGCACCUUGGAGAUUGCCCUUGGACAUUUCUCCUUUGUGUAUUUUAAAUUAUUUUAAUUAAUUCUUAUUUAAAUUUGGCUAUCUUAAUCUGCAAUAUUAUUUCAGAGCCCCAUAGAUAUUUAUAGAAAAUAGAGACACUGGCAACUUUUCUAAGAGAAUCAUAGGGAAUCAUAAUGAACCAGGAAUAAGAUCAGCUUGUUUUGCAUUUUCUCUUCCUCUUUUUAAUUGAUCUGAGUUCCUUAAAAGCAAAAGAGUAGUUGGUGAACUAGAUGGCAACACCUAACCAGCCUUAGACUGAUCUUGAGAAGCUAAGCAGAAUCUGAUCUGGUUAUGAGACGACAAAGAAAUCUGAGAACUGCAGAGACUAGAAUGGCAAGUAAAAAAAAAAAAGUUGCAAAAAGUGAAUAGCGAAACACUUAUGCAUAAUUGCAUUACAUGAAGUAAUAGGUCAAUGUCCAGGUAGCAGCAGGAAUUGACAGAGGGAGUACUUGAUUUUAUUGAAAGAGAUAAUGGGUAAACUUGAGUUUUUAGUUGCAGUAUGCCGGGUAGUCUGUAAAGGGACAGUUGUAUCAAUAAAGAAUACAGAAGCUUUCUUUGAAUGUGUUAUUGGGUUCUUAUAAUACUCAGCUAUAGCAGGGAAUAAAUGACUUCAGAUAGCAGAUAUAUGAAAUUUGGUACACUGGCUUCCUUCCUGUUAAUUGCCACAUGCAACCGUUUAAUGUAAGUUGGCAGCAUAUAAAACAGUCCAUGGGCAUAAUAGUCCAUUUUGAAAAAUGCUUGUAAAAGGAAUAGUUAGCAUCUGUCCUUCUGCUUUGUUGUGGCAGUAACCUAUUGUGGCAGUAACCUAGGCAUUAGAUAGAAAUAGUUUAUGUUGGAAAUAUUAGGCCACAUAUAAGUCCACCAUAAAAUUCUAGCUUUAAUGUGCAAUGUUAUCUCAAAAAGAAUAUUAGAGAAUAAUCCACUCAGUAGUCUUACAUAUGCUAUGGAGGUAGUUCCUUCUGGGAGAAGCUCAAUCUUAUUUAAGUGUUGAUUUCUGACAUGCAGCAAUUGCAGCCCUUAUUAGCCCUCUUCCUAUGCUUAAAGACAGAACCUUCCAAAAAGGAAUCAGAAAGGCAAUAAACAUAGAUCUUGUGUUAAAAGUAUUAGCCCAUUUUCUUUCAGCACAAAUGGAUUCAAGCAGUUGCAUCCAGAAAUACCUGCUAUUAGUUGUCAGUAAAUAGGAUCAUAUAUAAUUUGGAGGUGGUUUACUUUUAGUGGUGUGAACCUAUAGGACCUUUUCCCACAUAGUAAAGCCUAUUCAAAUACUUGGCAAUUAGAGAUAUUCUGGUGGAAUUCUCCACAGACAUUCUGGUGAAAAAUGCCUGUCAUAAAUAGUUUUUUUUUUAUCAUGAAUAAACAGAGUACUCAGUAAUGUCUGUUCUGUUGGUACCUGCUUGGCAACAGCUAUACUUGUAGAAUGCAGAUUCUUAACUUGGAGAGAUGAUAGUUGUUUACCAUGAGAUUUGUGUCACCUUAUCAUGUGUAAGAAAAUUACAGUUCUCAAUAUAGCUUAAUUUCUUUUUAAAAAGAGGAGAGGGAAUUCUCUGCAGUUUAAACCUGCUUUUAAUCUUGUCAGCAGUCUCUGUUCCCUAUCCCCAUCCCAAAAGUCAAGGUGACAAUUCAGAAAAGGCUUGAGGCUUAACAGUCCUAAUUUCAAGAUAUCACUUGUCACUGAAGCAACAAAUUAAGUUUAAAAGGGCCUCCGGCUCAUGGGAGACUGAGUUUAUCUCCUCUAUCCAGUUAGAUCUGUCAAUUUCAUAGAGGUUGGCAACUUUCUUGGCUUCAUGAAGAUAAUUCAAAGUCCUGAAGAAUUAAUCAACAUUGUGAAUCAUGAUACAGUUAAAAUCCAUCUCUAUCUUGAGGAUGAUUUCCAGAAAUGCUACCAUCAGCUUUGAACUGAUGAGAAUGGAUACAUAACUCAAAAUCUUUGCCAUUCUUUUCCUUCAGGAAAAACAGUAUUAAAAAUGGAUGGCCACUGUGCAGGUUGAGGAAAUCCAAAUGGGAAUGCAGAGUCCUCCCGAUUCUAGAAAAUUAUCAUCUCAUAAAUAAUAGUCAAUAUUAUUUAAAAUAAAAAAGGAACUUUGUUAAUUUUUGUCAUAUUAUUUUGAAAACUUAAGCAGUUUCUCAGAAACUAAAGUUCAGUGACAUAGGUUUAAAGAUUACAAUUAUGAAGACCCAUUUAGUAGAAGUGUGAACAAUGACUGUGAGGCUUAAUUAUGCCACUUAUCAAUUUGGUGCUUUUUGUAUAACAUCAUCCUUUCAACUUGACAAUUUGCCAAGAAUGGAAUGGUCCACUCCUUAAAGAUUGAAAAUUAACAAAGUUAUUCAUAGAGUAUUAGGGAAAAAUGAAAGAGAAGCAUAAAAUCUUAGACUGUGUGAUUAGCUCUCUUAAAUAAUAUAUUUAUGCUUGGGUUUAGCUCCAGAAGGAGACACAAUUGGAUUAUGCCACAGGCUUUAAGGAAAGCAGGUAUAAAAUUUUCAUGUCUUUAGUUUUUUAUACUUUCUCAGUCAUGCAACCAUGUUAUACCAAUGCAGAUACGGUCUGAAUGCCCUCAGUACUUGUUCUGUAUAUGAAGCAAACACAUUGUGGCUCAGCAUUCAGCCAUGCCAGUUUGAUCUGGAUUAAAUGAAAUCUAGAACCUUUGGGCAUGAGAAAUUUUGGGUGGGCCUUUUGGGUUAUUUACCUGUGCCCUUUCCUUUUGUACUGCUGCUUUUGCCUGCCUGUCCCUUCCCCGUCUUCCUAGCACUAAGAGAAAAUGUACUUGCUGAGUAGUAUUAGCCUAGCAGGAUGCUGAAUGCAGCCUGUGAUUACUGUUUUUUUUCUCUUUGGUUCCCGUAUCUGGUCUCUGUUGCUUCUGACUGUGUUCCCUUGGCAUCCUGCAUAUUUCUUCAUCUCUCUCUGGCUUUUCCAUUUUUUCCCAUCCAGAAUAUGCCCUGUAUAUAUGCCCAUUCCUGUAUGAGGUUUCCCAGCCUAUUUGCUUUUCUACCCCUUUGAAAAGAAAAAUGUGCCAUGAUAUUUAUUAUAAAAAUAAUUCUUUAAAAAGGUUAGUAAAAAAGAGAACAGUGACACUAAAAUCUUUCUAGCAUCCUGUACUACUAGAAAGUAAAAUUAUGUCUCCUACCCUCCUUCUUCCUAGUGGCCUCAGCAUGGGAUAGAUGGAAGCAUAUGCUUUAUCAUACGCCAUAACAACCAGCUGCUUUUUGUUCAGUCAAUAGGUUAAUAAUAAAAUAGCAUGUAAUAAAGAAAAAAAAUGAUGCAAUAUAAAUAAAUCGACCUUAUUUACAUUUCAGAUAUAGCUAUCAAAAUACCAUACAAAGUCCACUGAUCCUCGGACCAAUAAUAGUUGUGAAACCUAGAUCAGUUUACUCUGUGAAUCUAACCAAAGUAUGAGGUUAAAUUGUUUAUUAACAAACAGCUGAGAAACUGAAAGGGGGAGGGAUUGCUCUGAACUGAAAACUGUUUUUAUGAUAUAUCCAUAUAAAUACUUUGUGAAUAGCUUAUUAAUUACUUCACUGAAUAACUCAUCAGCAUACAUUUCCUUUUAAUUAGUAAGGUGAUUGCUGAUGAAGUACAGAUUAUUUAAUCACUCCAAAAUGCAGUUCCUCCUAAGGCCAAAUAUUGUAGUGAUGCCAGUAUUUCAAGCCCAGUAUCAUUUGAAACCAUGGCUCGAGUUUUUACAUAAUAAUGGCAGCCAAGGUUAUAGAGCUAUUUGAAUGUUUUUGUUUUUCAUGUUGUUGUAAGAGCAUUCAAGUUUCAGCAGUCUCUAGAGACAGAGUAAUAUUGUCACUGUGUUCUCAGCAUUGGUUAAUCCAUCAAACCAUGAUUAAACAUCCUUCAAUGUGAACAUAUUUGAUCUAAACAUACUAUUGCAACAAAGCAUAACAAGCAGGGAGGAGUGUUGGAUUUGAUAGCCUAAAUGGCCCAUUCCAACUUGGUGAUUUUGUGACAUGCUAAUUAUUGCUUGAAAUUUCACAAUUGGAAAUCAUUAAAAUGCUGAUGCUACAUUUUCCUCAUUACCUUUGAUGCAAAGAAACUAAAUACUGUAGUGCACAAGUAUAAUGUAAUGGGACUGCCUUGAAAUAUUUCUGUGAAAUGAAUUGUUAAACUGAAGAAGCUUCUUGGAUGGGAAGUGAAACGUCUUCAAUCAAAAAACAAAAGUCCAGUUGUCUUUUGAAAAAGCUCCUUUGGGACAUUUCUGUGCUUAGCAUUUGUAGAUUGCCCUUUUGGUAGACCUGGAAGAUCUAUGAAGAAUAAAGCUAGUUUGUUCUGUCACAUAUAUUUUUUACUCAUUUGUUCUUUCUGAGAAAGAUUCACAUUAGUAUUUUUGUGCUACUUACAUAAUAAGGCUUAUAGGAACCAAAAUUCAUAUUGUUGUCAUUAUCCAAAGAUGGAUAUACUGGAUAGGUAUAUCUAACUGAUCUUAUUUUAUUUCAGAAAAUUAAGCAAAGUCAAACUUUUUAGUAUACGGAAGAGAGGCAUCAGGAAGUCCCAAGUUUGUUGCCUGGACUGGGAAAUUGAAAAAAAUAUUUUGAAAAAAAAGCAAGAAAUCACUCACAUAUUCUUGCCAAGAAAACAGUUUGGAAGUGUCCAUUAAAUUGCCCACAGUUGAGCUUAAUUUGAUAGAGAUAUUGCUUUGCUUUUAUUUUUAGCACAACAAUCCUAAACUCAUGUAUUCACAAAGAGCAAAUGUAUUGAUUUUGUUUAAUGCAAGGCAGAACAGUUUUCUCAGAAAAAUCAAAAGCUUUGACAGCACAUAUACUAAAAUUGGAACAACACAGAGAAGAUUAGCAUGGCCCCUGCACAAGGAUGACACGCAAAUUUGUGAAGCGUUCCAUAUUUUUUAAAUUAAAAAAAAGUCUGCCUGAUGGAGUUUAGUUGUAGUUGCUUUGUUUUAUGAUAUUGCUAGUUUGGCAGGUGAUACGGAUCUAAGGUGGUAUUCCCCAUGAACUUGGGAGAGGUAUAUGCCAAGAUUAUUGCUUCCAGCCCGAAUGCUAAAUUAGACAUGCCUAGCUGAAGAGUAUUUUUAAUGAAAAUACAACCCACUUUAUCAUCCAUUUUAUUCAUUUUGUUCUAAUUGUUGUUGCUGAAAAAAAGAAUGCUUCUAAAGGUAGACUAUAAGUGGAGUCUUUAUGAUACUGUGUGAUUCUCUGUGAUCAGUUGACAGAGGGAAGAUGAAGUUUGUGACAAACAGCCUUCUAAAUUUGAUAAGUACAAAAUCUUUGAGGAAUAUCUCUGGAAAAAAUAAAUAUUUGUGGAAAGAGUAAAAAUGAGUACAAGUUAGUAUUCAUGGCUAACUGUAUUGGAUUAAUUUUGUUUGUGGUUUUUAUUUUUUACUACAUGCCAACAUCAGCCAGCCAAACAAAAGCCAAAUUGUAUGAAAUUCUUUGCAUAUUUGUAGUCUGUUGCUUAUUAUUGCUUUAAUAGGUACCAUUUACUGGGAUGAACUGCGUAUGCACGUACAAAUUUGAAUUCUUAAUUUGACAGGAAAGUAUGUUUCUCCUGCUAUUAUUAAAUAUCUGAACAUCAAUAAUCUUUGUCCUUCUCCUACAUUUCCCCAUGUUGGAAUAAAAUGAACAGCGAACAUAAUAAUUUCUUUGGUUGCUGCUUCUAGUUUCCUGGAUGAUCUUUUUUUCCAAGAUAGAUUUCAUAAUUGAAUAUCUCAACUUAUAACAUAAGCCUUUAGGUUCCAGGUAGGAAGUACUAUUUAGAUAGACUAAGCCAAGAAACCAACUCCACAGGAAGGGUUUUUUUUAUUGAGUUUAGCUAUAACAUAAGAAUCUUGCCAGUCCAUAUCUUUGUAUACUUCAGUGAAUUAGGGAGGUGUUUAAGCAGCUUCUGAACAUUAUCUGUUUGUUACUAAGAUGUAUUUCCCCUUUUUGUCAAGUCAUCUUUCCUACUCUCCACAAGUAGCAAUGCUUAUAUAUAGAUAAAAGUUUAUAUUUUAUGUUGGCUGCUUAUAUACAGUGCCAAUCUGUGGCACUGGGUAUGAUUCUAGGAGGAACUGCUAUUUGUAAUCCCACCAACUUUUUCCCAUUUUUAUCCACUAGGAUUUGAUGGCACAAGUGAUAUUGGGAACCAGAAAUACUUGGAAUCUAAAUGUGUCAGUUUGUCCUUGUGAACUGUAUGGGCAUCCAAUCUCCUUCCCAAUCUGACAAAUGGAGUGGGUGGGAUUAUCAAACAUGAAAAGAACUGUAGACAUAAUGAAGUGUCUUGACCAUAUAAAACCAAAGUAGAACAUAUAUUCAGUAUAAAUUGAAAGACAAAAAGGACAAGUAUAAAAAGUGGAAAGGGGGGCAAAUAACUAAGGCAGAAUAUCAGCAAAUAGCCCGAGCCUGUAAAGAUGAAGUGAGGAAAGCUAAGGCUCACAACAAACAAAGGCUAGCGACAAAAGUAAAAAAUAACAAAAAAAAGCUUCUUCCAACAUGUUAAAAACAAGAAAAUCCACAUAGAGGGAAGUAUGCAGUGGAGUAGCCCAAGGCUUUAUUUUAGGCCCAGUACUCGUCAACAUCUUCAUCAAUGACUUGGACGAGGGGAUAGAUGGGGAACUCAUCAAAUUUGCAGAUGACACCAAGCUGGCAGGAAUAGCCAACACUCCAGAAGAUAGGCUCAAGUUACAGAAGGAUCUUGACAGACUUGAACAUUGGGCGCUAUCUAACAAAAUGAAAUUCAACAGUGAAAAAAGUAAGGUUCUACAUUUAGGCCAAAAAAACAAAAUGCACAGGUACCAUAUAUGUGGUACCUUGCUCAAUAGUAGUACCUGUGAGAGGGAUCUUGGAGUCCUAGUGGACAACCAUUUAGAUAUGAGCCAGCAGUGUGCAGCAGCUGCUAAAAAAGCCAACACAGUUCUGGGCUGCAUAAACAGAGGGAUAGAAUCAAGAUCACGUGAAGUGUUAGUGCCACUUUAUAAUGCCUUGGUAAGGCCACACUUGGAAUACUGCAUUCAGUUUUGGUCGCUGCGAUGUAAAAAAGAUGCUGAGACUCUAGAAAGAGUGCAGAGAAGAGCAACAAAGAUGAUUAGGGGACUGGAGGCUAGAACAUAUGAAGAACGGUUGCAGGAACUCGGUAUGUCUAGUUUGAUAAAAAGAAGGACUAGGGGAGACAUGAUAGCAGUGUUCCAAUAUCUCAGGGGUUGCCACAAAGAAGAGGGAGUCGGGCUGUUCUCCAAAGCACCUGAGGGUAGAACAAGAAGCAAUGGGUGGAAACUGAUCAAGGAAAGAAGCAACUUAGAACUAAGGAGAAAUUUUCUGACAGUUAGAACAAUUAAUAAGUGGAAUGACUUGCCUGCUGAAGUUGUGAGUGCUCCAACACUGGAAAUUUUUAAGAAAAUGUUGGAUAACCAUCUGUCUGAGAUGGUGUAGGGUUUCCUGCCUGGGCAGGGGGUUGGACUAGAAGGCCUCCAAGGUCCCUUCCAACUCUGUUGUUGUUAUUGUCAUUGUUAUAUAUGUACCUCUCUGCUGCUUUUCCUAUAUAGAACUGAAUUCUUUUACUAAAAUAUACCAUAGGCAACCUGAUGCUAUCUCAGAUACAUUGGACUGCAAGUUUCAUCAGCUUCAACUAGCAUUUCCAGUAGCACAGCAAUUUGGCUGAAAAACAUCAGCAAGGGCUCCAUAUUGUUUGUUUCAGAGGCAGCUGCUUAAUAUACACAUUUAACUUCCACGUUUGCUCAGAUUCUACAAUGGAAGAGACUUCUUGAUUCCAGCAGCAGCAUGGGUAGAUGCUCCAGUUAAAGAGGAUCAAGCCUUACAGUUUAGCAGAUAAUGGCUUUUUUGUUGCAAGACUUCCUGGUCUGUGGCAUCAUUUCUACUCUCUACCUCUGUAUCUAUGAGAAAAAGGUGGGUGUUGCUGGAUGCAAUUGUAUCCUCAUUACUGUGUGGUUGUUUCUGAGUUACAAUUGUCAGAGGAACAUUGCAGUUUGCUGCUUAGUAAAAAAGGAUCAUGUUGGCUUCCACCUUUACUGAUGGCUUUUCCAUCAUUAGUUACUCCCACACCUUACUCCAUAGCUGGUUAGUGCAUAACAAGCUGGGAGGAAGCAACUUUCUUCAUUGAUACAGUAAGUUGCUGUUUGGGAAUUUGCCUUCUUCGAUCUGUGUUUUGAACAAGGGAAAAAAAAGGAGGGGGAGGAGCUUUGUUUUUCUUCGCACA